rnacentral:rRNA from 1 species
CCUAAGUUCGGGAUUCAUGGCCUCCAUUGGUCACGCUUCCUUAGAUGCAUUAUGCGUCGCACGAGUGUUGCGCUCCUUGUUGUAAACUUCAAGGUGCUUCCUCAUGUGUCCACGCUUUUGGCUCGGAACCCUUGGUGACGAGCAGAACAGCGUUCCGUCCUUCAGGAUGGUCCGCCCUUCCUUGACUUAACCUCACGGGGGCAAGACGACCCGCUAGACUUAAGCAUAUUAAUCAGCGGAGGAAAAGAAACUAACAAGGAUUCCCCUAGUAACUGCGAGUGAAGAGGGAAGAGCUCAAUGUGUGAAUCUGAUCGGGUGUAACGCCUGGUUCGAAUUGUGCACUAUUGACAUUGGAUCAGCGUUCGGAAGCUACCGUCGGAUGUCCGGUGUAAUCCGGCACCAUAGCGGGUAACAGUCCUGUACACGACACUCAGCAUCCACGCAUAUGACCAGUGUUCAUCGAGUCGCGUAGUUUUGUAUUGCUGCGCUAAUUGGGAGGUAGAGCCCUUCUAAAGCUAAAUAUGAUGGCGUGACCGAUAGCAAACAAGUACCGUGAGGGAAAGGUGAAAAGCAACCAUGCAGAAUGGGUUGAAACAGAAGUGAAAGUGCUACCGGGAUAAGGGCUAUUGAUUGCAAGUGUGGAUUGCGUGUGCUUCAGUGCUACGCUGACCGCCGUCGUGCAUCGAUUGGGU